rnacentral:ncRNA from 1 species
UCAUGGGGGACGGACUGGAACGGCUCUUUCGGGAGCUUUCCCCGGGCGUCGAACAGCUAAUUCAGAACUGGUACGGACAAGGGGAAUCCGACUGUUUAAUUAAAACAAAGCAUUGCGAUUGUCCCUGCGCGGAUGCUAACGUAAUGUGAUUUCUGCCCAGUGCUCUGAAUGUCAAAGGUAAGAAAUUCAACGAAGCGCGGGUAGACGGCGGGAGUAACUAUGACUCUCUUAAGGUAGCCAAAUGCCUCGUCAUCUAAUUGGUGACGCGCAUGAAUGGAUUAAUGAGAUUCCCACUGUCCCUGUCUACUAUUCAGCGAAACCACAGCCAAGGGAACAGGCUUGG